UACUGCAGAGAAUAGCUGUAGUAUAACCCCAUCCACUAUCCAUGUCCCAUGUCUUUACUGCAAGAAUAGCUGCCUUUUUACAUCAGGAAAGCAAACUCAAGCUAGUUAACUCCAUGGAAACCACAGUGAUGAGGGCCAGGUAGAUUUUACCUCAACGUACUGGUUGAAGACACUCCCUAUCUCCCCUGCUUGGGUUGAUGGAGAUUCCUGAUAGAAAGGACACACACUACCAUGACUCGCAGGACAAUGGAGUUGAUAGAAAGGACCACAGGAUCCACCCCAAAGACGGGCAGGCUUCAAAAGUGGGCAAAUCAUGUGUGGGAGCUGAGGGACUACAGUGUGCAAAAGAUGCAAACAGCCUUAACUCUCACUACCUGGGAACUGUCAAAAGAAUU